rnacentral:sRNA from 1 species
AAAACGAGCUUCCCGAUUACAUCUUGUGCUCAACGGAUUACACGUUAAUAUCUACAAUAAUCUGACAAAAUACACGGAAAUCGCGAGAAUUCGGAGAUUUGAUUGGUUUUUCGAGAAUACGAAUAUGAACGAUGCACGGCGGCCUCAGACGAAGCCUCCUGACACGUAAUAUUAUCGAAUUUUCGUGCAGAUAUUUCUAAGCCAAUGUUCAGUUGUAGAUCACCUCCGUCGUCUGUAUGGGAGAAUAUGUGGAAUCUAUUGGGUAUUGUACAUAUUGAAGUGUCUGCUGGAUGCAUUCUUGUCGGAAAUAAAUUCCUACCCUAUGCUCUAUGGACACGAUUUGAGAAUUUGAAUAG